GGCCCGUUGGUCAAGCGGUUAAGACACCGCCCUUUCACGGCGGUAACACGGGUUCGAGUCCCGUACGGGUCC
rnacentral:tRNA from 1 species